rnacentral:lncRNA from 1 species
AAAGGGUCAUUGUCAAAUAUUCUCAGAGGGUCAUUACCUCACUUCUAACUGCACCGAUAUUGUCCAAAUUUAACUAUCUAUUACUAGAUGUUGUGUUUUACCACAAAAUACAUCAGUAUUAUUAUGACUCAAUGUGGGACUUAUAUUUCACACGCCCCCUCACAUAGGACCACUACGUAGUGGGCCCCAGUUGCAAUCAAUCCCACCUUUGACAUUAAGUGCAAAAUCAUGGUGUUACAUUAAAACCAGUAACUCGGGCACGACACAGACCCACAUGACCUACAAUCAAACCUGCUCUAAUACUAUGUCAAAUAAUCAGAUAGACAGACAAUUGGGCCACUCCUAACCACACUCGUAUUGUCCCAACUUCACCACAUAUUGAUAGGUGUUGUGUUUUAUCACAAAAUGUCUCAAUGUUAUUGAGAGUGCAAUCAUGCACUUAUAUAUUGUAUUUUAUUUUCUUAGUUACCUAAUGUUGGACUUAUAUUCCACACCUUUGUCUGUUGUUAAGGUUUUCUUUAUAUAUUUUUACUUUUACUUUUGCGUCAAUUAUUGUUGUUUGAAAAACCUUCUUCAUGUAUUUUAUAGAGACAAAUUGGAUUAAUAUAUGUUAAAUAAAUUAAAAUUGUACUAAUAUCAGGAUGAAAAAAUAAUUUAUGUAGAACAAGUGCAGUUUAGUGAUCAAAUUAGAUUCAAUUCCGUUAGGUGAAUUAGUAAACGAUUUAUUUGAAUUCAACAUCAAUUCUAACUUGAUUCCAGAUAGUUUAGUAAACGACUUUAACAUAUGGUUUUGAUUCCCUUAAUCAAACUCCUCUUCAAUUCCUCCUUAGUUCAGUUCUCCUUGUUCUAUUCACGGAUUAGUAGACGCAUCAUCAGUGCAAUUAAAUACAUUAUAUGUAAUCCAAUUUCUUGUCCUUAUACUUAACAACAUAUAUAUUAUUCUUUACUCAACAACUGGUAUCCAUAAGAUUUGAAUGAACAACUUCUUCCAACAAUUAUUAACAAUACAUUAAUCCAUCACACAAGUAUUACAUCUUGUACCAAUAUCUAUUAUGAUAAACUGACAAGCAUAUCCAACAAAAGUAAAAUGAAAAUAGGUGAGCUAGUGGUGCAAGCUAUUGGCACCAAGAUAAUAGUGGUUAACUCAUGUACUAGUAGAAAAAACAGCUUGCGCGAUGAACAAUAUUUCGUCGCACAAGAUCUACUUGCGCGAUGAAAAAAAAACUUUGUCGCGCAAAAUAGAAAAGAUAGGAAAAAUAAAAUAAAAUUUGCGCGACGAAAAUAUUCGUCGCGCAAAGAAUAUAAUUUUGUUUGGCACGAAAAACUUGCACUACGAAAAGGGGGCAUUUGCAUGACCAAUGAUUUGUCGUGCAAGUUC